UCCUGUCUGAAUAUGGGGGGACCAUCCUCCAAGGCUAAAUACUCCUGACUGACCGAUAGUGAACCAGUACCGUGAGGGAAAGGCGAAAAGAACCCCGGCGAGGGGAGUGAAAAAGAACCUGAAACCGUGUACGUACAAGCAGUGGGAGCCCCACCACUAAGCCAGUGGUGAACUCCACAUACGCAUCCUUUGCUGAGGAUACGGUUAACGGAGCGAAAGCGACGUUCAACCUCAAAAGAAGCAGAGGGGGCUUAGUGGUGGGGUGACUGCGUACCUUUUGUAUAAUGGGUCAGCGACUUAUAUUCUGUAGCAAGGUUAACCGAAUAGGGGAGCCGGAGGGAAACCGAGUCUUAACCGGGCGUUAAGUUGCAGGGUAUAGACCCGAAACCCGGUGAUCUAGCCAUGGGCAGGUUGAAGGUUGGGUAACACUAACUGGAGGACCGAACCGACUAAUGUUGAAAAAUUAGCGGAUGACCUGUGGCUGGGGGUGAAAGGCCAAUCAAACCGGGAGAUAGCUGGUUCUCCCCGAAAGCUAUUUAGGUAGCGCCUCGUGAAUUCAUCUCCGGGGGUAGAGCACUGUUUCGGCUAGGGGGUCAUCCCGACUUACCAACCCGAUGCAAACUGCGAAUACCGGAGAAUGUUAUCACGGGAGACACACGGCGGGUGCUAACGUCCGUCGUGAAGAGGGAAACAACCCAGACCGCCAGCUAAGGUCCCAAAGUCAUGGUUAAGUGGGAAACGAUGUGGGAAGGCCCAGACAGCCAGGAUGUUGGCUUAGAAGCAGCCAUCAUUUAAAGAAAGCGUAAUAGCUCACUGGUCGAGUCGGCCUGCGCGGAAGAUGUAACGGGGCUAAACCAUGCACCGAAGCUGCGGCAGCGAACGUAUCACCCAAGACAACUUUACGGAGUUGACGAUUGAUGGAGCGAAGCGACGUCAAAGCGUUCAUUAAAGUCGAGUUGGCUUAGGGAUACGUUCGUUGGGUAGGGGAGCGUUCUGUAAGCCUGUGAAGGUGGCCUGUGAGGGUUGCUGGAGGUAUCAGAAGUGCGAAUGCUGACAUAAGUAACGAUAAAGCGGGUGAAAAGCCCGCUCGCCGGAAGACCAAGGGUUCCUGUCCAACGUUAAUCGGGGCAGGGUGAGUCGACCCCUAAGGCGAGGCCGAAAGGCGUAGUCGAUGGGAAACGGGUUAAUAUUCCCGUACUUGGUGUUACUGCGAAGGGGGGACGGAGAAGGCUAUGUUGGCCGGGCGACGGUUGUCCCGGUUUAAGCGUGUAGGUGUGUGUUCCAGGUAAAUCCGGUUCACUUUAACACUGAGGCGUGAUGACGAGGCACUACGGUGCUGAAGCAACAAAUGCCCUGCUUCCAGGAAAAGCCUCUAAGCAUCAGGUAACAUCAAAUCGUACCCCAAACCGACACAGGUGGUCAGGUAGAGAAUACCAAGGCGCUUGAGAGAACUCGGGUGAAGGAACUAGGCAAAAUGGUGCCGUAACUUCGGGAGAAGGCACGCUGACACGUAGGUGAAGUGAUUUACUCA
rnacentral:rRNA from 1 species